GAUGAACGCUAGCGGCAGGCUUAACACAUGCAAGUCGAGGGGUAUUGGUUUUCGGACCAAGAGACCGGCGCACGGGUGCGUAACGCGUAUGCAAUCUACCUUUUGCAGAGGGAUAGCCCCAGAGAAAUUUGGAUUAAUACCUCAUAGUAUAGUACUUUGGCAUCAAGGAACUAUUAAAGUCACAACGGCAAAAGAUGAGCAUGCGUCCCAUUAGCUAGUUGGUAAGGUAACGGCUUACCAAGGCUACGAUGGGUAGGGUCCUGAGAGGGAGAUCCCCCCACACUGGUACUGAGACACGGACCAGACUCCUACGGGAGGCAGCAGUGAGGAAUAUUGGACAAUGGGCGCAAGCCUGAUCCAGCCAUGCCGCGGUGCAGGAAGAAAGGUCCUAUGGAUUGUAAACUGCUUUAUACA
rnacentral:rRNA from 1 species